rnacentral:rRNA from 1 species
AUUGAACGCUGGCGGCAUGCUUUACACAUGCCAGUCGAACGGCAGCGCGGGCUUCGGCCUGGCGGCGAGUGGCGAACGGGUGAGUAAUGCAUCGGAAUGUGCCCAGUAGUGGGGGAUAGCCCGGCGAAAGCCGGAUUAAUACCGCAUACGACCUGAGGGUGAAAGCGGGGGACCGAAAGGCCUCGCGCUAUUGGAGCGGCCGAUGUCGGAUUAGCUAGUUGGUGGGGUAAAGGCUUACCAAGGCGACGAUCCGUAGCUGGUCUGAGAGGACGACCAGCCACACUGGGACUGAGACACGGCCCAGACUCCUACGGGAGGCAGCAGUGGGGAAUUUUGGACAAUGGGGGCAACCCUGAUCCAGCCAUGCCGCGUGCGGGAAGAAGGCCUUCGGGUUGUAAACCGCUUUUGUUCGGGAAGAAAUCCUCUGGGCUAAUACCCCGGGGGGAUGACGGUACCGGAAGAAUAAGCACCGGCUAACUACGUG